rnacentral:tRNA from 1 species
UACUCCUGUAGCCCAAUUGGAAGAGGCGACUGUCUCAAAAACAGUUUAUGUGUGGGUUCAACUCCCACCGGGAGUAUC